rfam:Ictidomys tridecemlineatus contig102807, whole genome shotgun sequence.
AUUGCUUCUCGGCCUUUUGGCUAAGAUGGAGUAUAGUAUCCGUUCUUAUCAGCUUAAAUAUAGGAACAAAAUAAAGAUGAUCCUGAAGAACUUCUUUAGAGAAGCCAAAGUCUCAGAAUGUUC